AAUAUUGCACAAUGGGCGCAAGCCUGAUGCAGCGACGCCGCGUGGGGAUGACGGCCUUCGGGUUGUAAACCUCUUUCACCAGGGACGAAGCGCAAGUGACGGUACCUGGAGAAGAAGCACCGGCCAACUACGUGCCAGCAGCCGCGGUAAUACGUAGGGUGCGAGCGUUGUCCGGAAUUACUGGGCGUAAAGGGCUUGUAGGUGGUUUGUCGCGUUGUUCGUGAAAACCGGAGGCUUAACCUUCGGCGUGCGGGCGAUACGGGCAGACUGGAGUACUGCAGGGGAGACUGGAAUUCCUGGUGUAGCGGUGGAAUGCGCAGAUAUCAGGAGGAACACCGGUGGCGAAGGCGGGUCUCUGGGCAGUAACUGACGCUGAGGAGCGAAAGCGUGGGGAGCGAACAGGAUUAGAUACCCUGGUAGUCCACGCCGUAAACGGUGGGUACUAGGUGUGGGUUUCCUUCCUUGGGAUCCGUGCCGUAGCUAACGCAUUAAGUACCCCGCCUGGGGAGUACGGCCGCAAGGCUA
rnacentral:rRNA from 1 species